GCGGUGAAUACGUUCCCGGGCCUUGUACACACCGCCCGUCACACUAUGGGAAUUGGAUGCGCCCGAAGUUUGUGGCCUAACCGCAAGGAGGGAGCAACCUAAGGCGAAGUCAGUGACUGGAGUGAAGUCGUAACAAGGUAGCCGUAUCGGAAGGUGCGGCUGGAUCACCUCCUUU
rnacentral:rRNA from 1 species